GACGAACGCUGGCGGCGUGCUUAACACAUGCAAGUUGUACGGUACGACAUGGAAGCUUGCUGAAGUGUCGUAGAGUAGCGAACGGGUGAGUAAUGCAUGAGAAUCUGCCCUUUGGAGGGGGACAACAGCUGGAAACGGCUGCUAAUACCCCGUAAGCCGGGAGGUGAAAGGUACGCGAGUACUGCCGGGGGAUGAGCUCAUGUCCUAUCAGCUUGUUGGUGGGGUAACGGCCCACCAAGGCGACGACGGGUAGCCGGCCUGAGAGGGUGAACGGCCACACUGGGACUGAGACACGGCCCAGACUCCUACGGGAGGCAGCAGUUGGGAAUCUUCGGCAAUGGGCGCAAGCCUGACCGAGCAACGCCGCGUGAGUGAUGAAGGUUUUCGGAUUGUAAAGCUCUGUCUUCCGGGACGAUAAUGACGGUACCGGAGGAGGAAGCCACGGCUAACUACGUG
rnacentral:rRNA from 1 species